GGGAAAUUCAAUGGGCUUGAAGAACAUACAAUGGCUUGUGACAAACUGUUGUGCCUAAAGAACAGACCAUGGUUUGUGACAAAAGUCUGCCCAGAAGCUGAGGACCAGAGGAGUGACUCUCGCACAGCGGCUCGGUGCCUGAGCUGGAAUUCCAACCAGGGCUGUCGCCCUCUAAAGCCCUGCCAUGGCAGUGCUGCCAGCUCACUCUCCUUGGGCUCCCUUCCCACCUCCCACAUCCCCAUGUCCCCAUGGACUCCUGGUGCCACGGCACAGCUGCAUGGGGGUGAUUCAUGCUGGACACCUGAGACACAAGGAGAGGAGGCAGGGAGCUGCCGAAAGAGGUUCAGUUAAAAACUUCCAACAAUGAGGGAGUGAGUUACCAACUUUCAGGAAGCCUUGUUUGGGUCCCAGCCCUUUUCCCUUUGGGUAUAAUUUGUUGGUAUGACACUGAACUAACACAUUGCAUCUCGAGCUGCUCCCUGCUGAGCUCUGGAGCCCACUAAGGGAUGAAAGCAGCUCCUCCUUAGGCCUUUUGUUGUGGCUUUUUCUCUUUUUGGCCAACAGGAGACAGGAAUUUGGGAAUUAUGCAGAUGGG
rnacentral:lncRNA from 1 species